rfam:Citrus sinensis cultivar Ridge Pineapple sweet orange scaffold00722_contig_5, whole genome shotgun sequence.
AUAUCAUGAUGAGGACAUCUUCUAAGUAACUCCUUGAAUCUUUCCCAUGCAUCAGACAAGCUUUCAUCUUCAAGUUUAUGAAAAGAUGUGAUCUCAUUUCUCAAUAC